GCCCGGCUAGCUCAAUCGGUAGAGCGUGAGACUCUUAAUUCUUCCAGAAGCUGGAAAAAGUAGUCAUCUCAAGGCUGCGGGUUCGACCCCCGCGUUGGGCU